UUUUUUUUUCUCCUUUUCCUCAUUUUUUUUUUCUUUUUCCUCUUUUUCGCCUCAUUUUUCUCCUUUUCCCUCUUUUUUUUUCUCAUCUUUUUCUUCUUUUUCCUUUCUUCUAUUUUCCCUUUUCUCACCCUUUUCUUCUUUUUCUUCUUUUUUCUCCCUCUUUUCUUUUUUUCUGUUUUUUCAUCUUUUUUUCUCUCUCUCCUCUUUUUCCUUCUUCCUUUUUUCUUUUUCACUUUUUCCCCUCUUUUUCUUCUCUUUUUUCUCUUCUCUUUUUUCUUACUUUUUUCUCUUUCCUUUCUUUUUUUCCUCUCUUUUCCUCCUCCUUUUCCUCUUUUCUUUCUCACUUUCCUCUUUUUUCUCUUUUCCACCUUUUUUCCCCUUUUUCCUCUCUUUUAUCUUUUUUCCUCUUUUUUUUUCUUUUUCCUUUUUUCUUUCCUCUUUUUUUCUCCCUUUCUCCUUUUUCUUCUUCUUUUUCCUCUUUUUUCCUCUUUUCCUCUCUUUUUUAUUCUUUUUCCCCUCUCCUUUCUCCUUUUUCAUCCACUGUCCUCUUUGCUCCUCUUUUUUCUUUUUUUCCUUUUUCCUCUUUAUUUUCUUUUUCCUCUCCGUUUUCUUACUUUUUUUCUGCUUUUCCUCUUUUUUCCUCCUUCUUCUCCUCUUUCCUCUCAUUUUUCUUUUUCCUCUUUUCCUCCUUUUUCUCUUUUUCUGUUUUUCAUCUUUUUCCACUUUUUUCCCUUUUUCCUCUUUUUUCUUUUUUCCUCUCUUUCUUCUCUUUUCCAUCUUUUUUUUUUACCUUUUCCUCUCUUUCUUCUUUUUCCUUUCUCCUUUCUCUUUUUUUCUCUUUUUUCUUCAAUUUCCUCUUCUUAUUCUUUUUCCUUUUCUCUUUUCUCCUUUUCUCUCUUUUUCUCUUUUCCUCUUUUUCUUCUACUUUUUCUCUUUCCUCUCUUUUUUAUUUUUCCUCUUUUCCUCUUCUUCCUUUUUCCUCUUUAUCUUCUUUCUUCUCUUUUUAUUUUUUUUCUGUUUUCUCUCCUUUUCCCCUCUUUUUCGUCUUUUUCUUCUCUUUUCCCUCUUUUUCCUCCUCUUUUUCUUUUUUCUUUUUCCUUUUUCCUUCAAUUUCAGAUUCAUGCUCUGCAGCGCAAACUGGAAAAAUUCAUCUUAAACUGCUAAAAUCAGGCAGGUCGAGACCUUUCUGUUAACAAUCCUCCACUCCAUCCUUGAAAUCGAAAGUAGUGAAGGAUUUUGCAGAAAAUAAUGGAUCAUUUUCCCAUUUACCCACGAUUCAAGGAUUAAUAACUAAUCCCAUCAAAGGACAUCUGCUUAGAUUGUUCCUUGUCAGUGAAAGUAAAUAGAGCCUUUUAGUCUUUAGACCUGAACUCCUCUGAGGUCAUUAUGCCGAGGGAACCUCCUACCAGUGGCUGCUUUCUCUUUCACUCCUGCUGUGCCCAACCCUGGAGGGAGAAAGCAAACUUUGCUGGUCCUGAACAUAAAGGUUACGUGCUGGAACGGGGCAGGCCUUUGCAAGAGGCCAAUAAGCUGAGACCCUGCUGUCCCCAUGGGAUGGGUGAGGGCAGGAGCUGCAGCUCACACUGCCCUGCUGCUGCACAGGGUGCCCCCAGCCCAAGCUCCACCAUUUGGAACACGGCUGAGCAUCUCCUCCACCAAUACCAGCUGUGGGUUUUGCACUUUGCUUUGGGAAACCUUCCUGGGAGAGAGAUACAGACAGAAAGAAAUGCUGCUCGACCCUCUCCUUCAUGCAUGAAAUAUAGGAGGGAUCCCGACGUGGGGCCCCGACCCCAAACCAAUGCCAGCUCUGAGCUAUGGAGGGGAACUUUUGGAGCCAGGGGGGGUUUUAGGCUGUGACCCCACUGUGCCAACCUCCAUGGCUGGUAAGGCAGGUGCUGGCUCAGACGAAGCAAACAAUUGCAGCAGAGCCAGUGGGAGUUCAAAAGGAGCGGCGCUGAAUGAAAUGAUGGCAAUUUCCCUUAUUUACAGCCGCUUGAAGGUGCACGCUGGGAAUGUUUAGAUAUCCUUGUUAUCCCCUCCGAUACCUAGGGAACGUUAUUUUUAAUGAGCAGGGCUGUAAUCAGGCCGCAUUCGUGCCAGGCAUCCCUUACAAACAAACGCCGUUCUCCAAAAGGACCUUCCAGAUUCCAGGUCCCAUCCAAAACCAUUUUUAAGGCUGAAGAAAAGGCAACUGCCCUCCGGAGAGCUCUGGGCAGUUGGAUGAGCUGGGAGGUGCUGCGGACACUGCGCCCGAUUUGAUGAGGUCAGAGCUCCUUUCAGUGUGGAGAAGGAGCUUCGUUUUAUUUGUGUCACUCAGCAUUUGGGGAUGAAGUGGGAAUGAGGAUAAUGCCGCAUUCUGGGCUGUGGUGGUGUGGUAGAAAUGAAUUUGUUUUCAGGCUCCAGCCCCUUCCCCUGCGAAGCUCAGCACGGGUGCUCGGAAUGCAUUUAGCUGUGGUUUGGCCUUUUGGUUGAACUGUAGUGUCCAUUGCAGCUGGGAAAACCUUGCUGGGGACAAGCAGGAGGGAAGCAUGAGGUUGAGGAUGUGUCCGUGCCCUUCCAUUCUUGGCUGGAAUGGAGCAGAGCACGCAGUGCUGGAGGCUGCCAUGAACAGCACAGCCCUGCAACCCCGCGGAUGGCUCUGGGGCAUCAUGGCUCUGUCCUUCAGUGCACAACUGCUUGCUUGAAAGCACUUUUUUGGGGGAUGCAUUUUUACCCUCUGCGAUAGUGGAAGGGUGGCGUUGUUUGGCCCACGUGGAGCAAAAAUGCCUGCAGGAUUCCCACUGCUUACGGAAAAAGGGCAGCGCACGGAGUAGGUGUUAAUAACUCACCCAAAUCCAGACCCUUCUCCCUCUCCCCCAAAUCCACCGAGCCGCUCACACGCCCGUGCUCCGAAUUCUGAUGGGAUUUCAAACAAAACCUGCGUGCUGCUGCCACGGCAUCAGCAAUGGGAGCCGUUGGAAGCAGCGGUGGGUGCGUGGAAAAGAAGUGCACACCUCGGUACAAACACUUCAAAAGCCAAAAAAUCGUAUUGGAGCCAUCGGAGGCGUUUCUUACAGAGCCCAAACGUCUCCCAAAUGGAGCCUCUCUGAGCUGGCAGGCAAAAAAAAUGCGGAAUUUUGCCCUAAAAAAUCCCAGGCUGCUCCAUGCCAGGGCCCCGCACUCAUUCAGCUGGGUUGAAACAGAGCUCUGUGCACGCACCUGGAAUGCACCCAUGCAUUCACCCCCUCCUGAAGCACACAGCCCCUUCAACGCAGCCCUCUGCCCUGUGCGGACCCGAGGGGGGGGGGGGGGGGGGGGGGGGGGGGGGUCUCCGUGCAUUGCAAAACCCCCAUAGGAACGCCAAUAUAGGGGCACCCAUCAGCUCCACAACGAGCGAUGCAUUUCGCCGUGCAAAAAAGAAAAUAGAGCCCAGCGCUGGGUGCGCUUCGGGGCAGAGCGGAGGCGUCGCUUUGUGUUUUGAUCGCGUCCUUCCUUUCCUUCUUUGUUCAAAUGCGUAUCUGUGUUUUGCGUCGUCUCAAAAAGUGCUUUGAAGCCACGCGGGAGAGCUGCGCUGCGGGCUCUGCUCUGCGGGAGGGCGGUGCGGGCUCUGCCGGUGGUGGUGCCCAUAGAGCCCGCAGUGCGUGGGGCGGUGGGGGUCUCCCCAUUACGGGACACGGAAAAUUGCGGUGUUCAGGGGUGAAAUCCUCUUCGAUUAUCAGAGAUAUCACCACCCCCACCCCCCCACCCCACCCCCCUCCGGCUCCUCG
rnacentral:lncRNA from 1 species